AUGGCCGUUGGUGGUGCGUGGGUUGACCUGUCUAGCGUUGAUUCAGCUAACGAGCGAGAUUAUCGCCAAUUACAUACUUUAAUUUAUUUUUAAAUUAAAUGUUCUAAUUGGGACUCCCUGCGUUUUUAGCAGGCGGAAGAGGGUAGCAAUAACAGGUCCGUGAUGUCCUUUAGAUGCUCUGGGCUGCACGCGUGCUACAAUGCUAGGAUCAAUCAGCAGCUACCCCGAGAGGGGAUGCUACUCUUCUAAUCCCUAGCGUAGUUGGGAUUGAUGUUUGUAAUCAGCAUCAUGAACCAGGAAUCCCUUGUAAAUGUGUGUCAACAGCGCACGUUGAAUACGUCCCUGCCCUUUGUACACACCGCCCGUCGCUCCUACCGAUUGGAUGACUCGGUGAAAUCACUGGAGUUUGCGAAUGAAGGUGAUUAAAUCACGUUAUCUAGA
rnacentral:rRNA from 1 species